rnacentral:rRNA from 1 species
GAUGAACGCUGGCGGUAUGCCUAACACAUGCAAGUCGUACGAGAGUUUUUAACUCUAGUGGCGGACGGGUGAGUAACACGUGAGAAUUUGCCUUUAGGAGGGGGAUAACAAUUGGAAACGAAUGCUAAUACCCCAUAUGCUUUUGAGUGAAAUGGAUUUUAUCCGCCUAAAGAGAAGCUCGCGGCUGAUUAGCUUGUUGGUAAGGUAAGAGCUUACCAAGGCGACGAUCAGUAUCUGGUUUGAGAGGACGAUCAGACACACUGGAACUGAGACACGGUCCAGACUCCUACGGGAGGCAGCAGUGGGGAAUUUUCCGCAAUGGGCGAAAGCCUGACGGAGCAAUACCGCGUGAGGGAAGAAUGCCUAUGGGUUGUAAACCUCUUUUUUCAGGGAGGAAUAAAAUGACGUGUACCUGAAGAAUAAGCAUCGGCUAACUCCGUG